rnacentral:lncRNA from 1 species
CAUUACUUGCUGCACAGAAUGUAAUAGUCAAAAAUCUCAAUACCACACUUGAUUUGAAGUUGAAUAUAUAAAAGCUGAGUUUCUAGGUCAGUGCAUGAGAACUUUGCUGGGUAGUGGGUAUGGCCAAAAUUCAAAGAUAUGUUGAGUUUUCUUAAGAAAAUGUUGGGGUUUUUUUUUAUAGGAGGUUCUAUUUGGUUACUAUGGAGUAAUGUUCUUCAGUGUAUACUAUUUCUCUGAAGCAUUACAGGUUUAACUUGAGUUAAUGGAAUUCACUGGUAACUUCCAUGAUGCUAAAAUCCCUUUCUGUUUGUCUAGGUUUUACUCUUUACCAGAGACGGGAGGUGCUAGAUUUUUCUUCUUCUCCAAAGAUGAUGAACGACUAAGAGAGGGCCCUAGGUUAUUUUGUAGAUCAGUAGAGCUCAGUGAAGAAAAAGAUGGUUGGGAAGACAGACGUAGAUUAUUGCUUGAGGUGAGUAUUUUAACAUCUGUUCCUUGGUAACUGUGGCUGAAAGCUCAGCGUGAGGAGGGAACAUGCUGAUUAUUUGCUUAAUUUGCAUUAAAAAUCCAUCCAGGACCUUUAAGAAGGGCUUGAAACUUUUAAUUAUCAGGGAACUAAAAAACUUUAAUGUACAAGUGUAUAUAACAUCAUGUUCUGAUGUCCAGUCAGGUAAAUUACUUAAUCUCUGUAUUGUACAGAACCAGUUACUUUACUGCAUGUAAAAAAAAAAUUCAGAAUUCAGAAACUUAUCAUUAUAUUAUGUUCAAAUUUAAAUAUUUUCAGGAAUGCCGGAAGAAGCAUAAAGAUGCAAGAAGGAAAGUGAAAGCAAAACAAUGAAUCUUUCUUACCUUACCGGUCAGAAGUACUCCGUGUUUCUUCUUUGAAGAAGAUGCAGAAAAAAAUCCUCUGAAAAUUCCAGUCUUUCAAAGACCUAAUAGGAAAUAGUACUGGAAAAGACUGUUAAACUUUUUUGAAAGAGGUGCGUGUUUAUUGUGUCAAUUCAGUGUUUAUGCCAAGGCUUGAUGGUUUUUGUCUACAUGGUUUUAAUGUGACUUGCUCCUUUGCAAGAUUUUGGAGAAUUCGAUCAUGUUACAGAGACAACACAGGGUUAUUUCACUGUGUUCUCAGGCCCCAGUGCUGAAGGGGGUUGAGAAAGAGCAGUCUCUGUGAAAGAGUAAAUCUGUGUCUGUAAGACAUAACCUGUGUCAUGCCAAACGUAAGGGACAUCCUUUUUGAGAUGCCUUUGCAGAUAUUUGGAAUGCAUUAUUUCCAGAGUAACACUUGACCAGAAGUUUAUGAAGAUAAAUACAUGACAGGGAAGAGUUAUACCGAUCUCCCCAUUUCAUAGCUUCGAAGAGCUGAUUUUCCUACUUAAUUGAGUGCAUACAAUAAUAAAUAUUAAGGACUAAUGUUGCUGGUGUUGAAU